rnacentral:misc_RNA from 1 species
UUCAACUUUAACUUGGAGAUUUGAUUUGCUGCAGUUUCAAUCAAGUUUAUUCAAGUUUUUAAACUUGAAAGUUGGCACGCAAAUUGAGGGAGAAUUCAAAUAUGGAGUUUGUAAGUUUGGUGCAUUCUUCAAAUUGACAUGUGCUUGUUUUUUCAUUGCUUUAGAUCUGAUUGCUUUCAUUGUUUUAAGUUAUUUGAGUCUAUUUUCGAUUGCUGGAGUGUUGUUUGGUGUGUUUAGAUCUUGGG